CCCUACGGGGUGCAGCAGGCAGAGGGGGACUCAUUGCCGUCUCUGCAGAAGGAGCCGUCUGGCACCGGGAACAGGUACCCGUUUCAUCCGAUCUCUUGGCGGUCGUGUUCGUAGGCGACACGUACGUGGUCGUUGGAGCAAGCGGCCCUGUUCUCACAUCCAGCGACGGGAGCCGCUGGACACAACGGCAGACGGGGACGAGAUCUGCACUUUUUGGUGUAGCAGCCCAAUCCGUAACCAUCCUUGCCACGGGUGACAACGGCGUUACGCUCAUCUCCCCCGAUGCGAUUCACUGGUCCUCCGUCCCCACGACCAGUCACGAGUGGCUGUACGGGUGUGCGGCGGGGGAGC
rnacentral:rRNA from 1 species